UGUCGGGGAUGAAAUUGACUGAUGAAAUUGUGUGGUGGGCCAGUGUGCUGCUCGUGAGUUUAACUCCUCCAGGCGUCACCCUGGAGUCGUUUCAGCCCUCUCGCGUGGCUCCGUUUCUCCCUUCGGUGGUCUUAGACCACCGUGAGCACCCAGAGCCCUGAACGGCCAAUGCUUAUGUGUGACCCCUGGAUGAGUAACUCUUUUCAUUAAUGAGUGGGUUUCCCUAUGGAACCACCGCACGGUAUGCAGAUUGUGCCUCCACCACUACUGUAAAUUUCUCAGUUGCCUGAGAAAGCCGUAAGGAGCCGGGAGUGUCCUGGGCAGAGGAGCGCGGUGCAGGGGGCGGUCUCACUGUCUCCGGCUCUUCCUGACGGUGAGAGGGUGCUCAGCUGCAGUCAUAGGACACGACAUUCUCUCGGAGCAUCUCUCUCUAUGAAAGAAAAAAGAGUAAAGGAGGGGGAAGGCAAGCAAGGAGCUGGAAGAGAAAGCCAGUAAGAGGAUGAAUUAGACGGGCUGUGGUUUUGAAACAUGAAGCCUAGAUAACAGCAAAUGGAAACAGAAUAAAGGACUAAAAACUUUAAAGCUAUGGAACAAAGUAGUACGAGAAAUCUUAAAUCUGAAAAAAAAAAAAGAUGUUUGAAGAAAACAAAUCCCAGGAGACUUAAGAAAGUCCCUAAAUUUCCUUGAUUGUCCUAAACAGAGAACUGGACCAAAGUGAGAGUGCCCUGCAGUGUGGAACUCGAAUGCUCCUCUACAAAUGCCUGUUGAUGAUGGUGAGAAGUAACCUGGAGAACAGGACCCAUUCCUCAUCUGGCUCUACCAGACAUUAGAGCAAGAACUCCCACUAACUUCUCGGAAUCCAUCCCAGCGGAGUGUAGCACAAGUUAGAAAGCUGAGCCUCUGGUUACAAGGUAUAGGUUUAAGACAGCUGAUGUAGGAAAAAUCAUCAAACCAUGGUCCUCUGCUGAACUUAUUUAUUUAUCCAUCAUGCAACAUGAAAUAGUAAAGGAGGUCAGAAAGUAAAUUAUGGGGUCAGUUGGUUUACAACAUAAAACUUAAGGAAAAAAGUAGCAGGAUCAAUGUGAUAGGGAGUUUUGUGAUCCUGAAAUUUUGUUUCUGGAGCCACCCAGUUGAGGUAAUAAAGUCCUCCAGUGGAGCUGGCCCUGCCACCCAGGCAGGAGGGUUUUGUACUUGGCACAUUUCAUUUAUUUCCUGCCUCAAAAUUUCCAAUUUAGACGGCGAGGCUACUGCUUGCUUCUGAUGAAGUCAGCAACGCAUUUCUGUACCUAUUCCCCAAAAGGUACCUUGCUCUACUCAUUGUCAUAAGGGCCGUUUAUGAAGUAGUUUCCUUUUUUAAAAAGCCAGAUCGUUGUGAAAUAAAUAAUUUCUGGAAGAAAUACGACUUUUGAAUUGUACAUGAUUGCUACAGGGAUGCCAUUUAUAAGCUGGCUCACAGAAGACAUAGCUAAUGUUAGAAAUAAUAAAACGAGGGGCCUUCAAAUAGAUUGACAUCGUAUAAAUAGCAAAAACCAAGCCAAAGCAGAACCCUAAAAAAAACCUCACAGAAACUCAGCAAGAGAUGCCUAAAGAUUUGGCCACUUCUUUUAAUCAUCGUCUUAAUCUGUGCUUAUUUCAUCUUAAUCUGUUUGAAUUAUGUGAGAAACUGAAAGCAAUAUCUUUCUUUUGUCUCCAAAUUUAUGCCUCCCUCAUCCCAAUCUGUACUUAAACAUCUGAGCAAU